CCCCGGCCAAACCCUAAUGACGCCGGGCCAAUUGUGCGCUAUGGGACUAUGAAGUGUCAGUCAAAUUCAAUGACGAGCACAUUCAGGACAGUCCUUACCUGGUGCCAGUGUAUGGCUCUGCUGGAGAUGAUGCAUCAGGGUCGGGACAGACCAAAGGUCAUCUGAUGAGGAAGGGUAAUCAAUGGCUGAUUUGCAUCCUCUCUAUGGUCCUCCUUCCAGACUGAUGCCUAUAAGGUUGUCAGUAGCGGGCCAGGCCUGAGUGAAGCCUGUAUGGGAAGGAGAAACAUCUUCAAUGUGGACUGCAGUAAAGCUGGUGAGGCCAUAAAAUCUCCUCCCUCGGUUGACAUACAAGAUUCUACUUGAUUGGUCAAUUCAGAAAGCCUAGAGAGCCUCAGAGCAUGCACAGACCAGCUGGCUGGUGUGUUUACGGACAUAUUCAAUCAAUCCCUAUCCCAGCCUGCUGUCACCACAUGCUUCAAGAUCGCCACCAUUGUUCCGGGACCCAAGAAGGAAAAAAUAUCUGAACUAAAUGACUACUGCCCCAUAGCACUCACUUCUGUCAUCAUGAAGUGCUUUGAGAGACUAGUCAAGGAUCAUAUCACCUCCACCUUACCGGCCACCAUAGACCCACUUCAGUUUGCAUACCGCCCCAACAGGUCCACAGACGAUGCAAGAAUGCUGUUCAUUGACUGCAGUUCAGCAUUCAACACCAUAGUACCCUCCAAGCUCAUCAUCAAGCUGGAGGCCCUGGGUCUCAACCCCGCCCUGUGCAAUUGGGUCCUGGACUUUCUAAUGGGCUGCAGCUGUCCAGGUGGUGAAUGUAGGAAACAACAUCUCCACUUCGCUGACUAUCAACACUGGGGGGGCCCACAAGGGUGCGUUCUCAGCCUUCUCCUGUACUCCAUGUUCACCCAUGACUGCGUGGCCAUGCAUGCCUCCAACUCAAUCAAGUUUGCAGACGACACAACAGUUGUGGACUUGAUUAACAACAACGACGAGACAGCCUACAAGGAGGUGGUGAGGGCACUCGGAGUGUGGUGUCAGGAAAAUAACCUAACUCAACGUUGCUGCCUACAUUGAGACUCAAUCACUGGACACUUUAAUAAAUAGAUCACUGGACACUUUAAAUAAUGCCACUUUAACAAUGUUUACUUAUCUUACAUUACUCAUGUGUAUAUACUGUAUUUUAUUGCACCUUGCCUAUGCCGAUCGGCCAUCGCUCAUCCAUAUAUACUACUCAAAAAAAUAAAGGGAACACUUAAACAACACAUCCUAGAUCUGAAUGAAAGAAAUAAUCUUAUUAAAUACAUUUUUCUUUACAUAGUUGAAUAUGCUGACAACAAAAAUCACACAAAAAUAAUCAAUGGAAAUCCAAUUUAUCAACCCAUGGAGGUCUGGAUUUGGAGUCACACUCAAAAUUAAAGUGGAAAACCACACUACAGGUUGAUCCAACUUUGAUGUAAUGUCCUUAAAACAAGUCAAAAUGAGGCUCAGUAGUGUGUGUGGCCUCCACGUGCCUGUAUGACCUCCCUACAACGCCUGGGCAUGCUCCUGAUGAGGUGGCGGAUGGUCUCCUGAGGGAUCUCCUCCCAGACCUGGACUAAAGCAUCCGCCAACUCCUGGACAGUCUGUGGUGCAACGUGGCGUUGGCGGAUGGAGCGAGACAUGAUGUCCCAGAUGUGCUCAAUUGGAUUCAGGUCUGGGGAACGGGCGGGCCAUUCCAUAGCAUCAAUGCCUUCCUCUUGCAGAAACUGCUGACACACUCCAGCCACAUGAGGUCUAGCAUUGUCUUGCAUUAGGAGGAACCCAGGGCCAACCGCACCAGCAUAUGGUCUCACAAGGGGUCUGAGGAUCUCAUCUCGGUACCUAAUGGCAGUCAGGCUACCUCUGGUGAGCACAUGGAGGGCUGUGCGGCCCCUCAAAGAAAUGCCACCGCACCCCAUGACUGACCCACCGCCAAACCGGUCAUGCUGGAGGAUGUUGCAGGCAGCAGAACGUUCUCCACAGCGUCUCCAGACUCUGUCACGUCUGUCACGUGCUCAGUGUGAACCUGCUUUCAUCUGUGAAGAGCACAGGGCGCCAGUGGCGAAUUUGCCAAUCUUGGUGUUCUCUGGCAAAUGCCAAACGUCCUGCACGGUGUUGGGCUGUAAGCACAACCCCCACCUGUGGACGUUGUGCCCUCAUACCACCCUCAUGGAGUCUGUUUCUGACCGUUUGAGCAGACACAUGCACAUUUGUGGCCUGCUGGAGGUCAUUUUGCAGUGCUCUGGCAGUGCUUCUCCUGCUCCUCCUUGCACAAAGGCGGAGGUAGCGGUCCUGCUGCUGGGUUGUUGCCCUCCUACGGCCUCCUCCAUGUCUCCUGAUGUACUGGCCUGUCUCCUGGUAGCGCCUCCAUGCUCUGGACACUACGCUGACAGACACAGCAAACCUUCUUGCCACAGCUCGCAUUGAUGUGCCAUCCUGGAUGAGCUGCACUACCUGAGCCACUUGUGUUGGUUGUAGACUUCGUCUCAUUCUACCACUAGAGUGAAAGCACCGCCAGCAUUCAAAAGUGACCAAAACAUCAGCCAGGAAGCAUAGGAACUGAGAAGUGGUCUGUGGUCCCCACCUGCAGAACCACUCCUUUAUUGGGGGUGUCUUGCUAAUUGCUUAUUUCCACCUGUUGUCUAUUCCAUUUGCACAACAGCAUGUGAAAUGUAUUGCCAAUCAGUGUUGCUUCCUAAGUGGACAGUUUGAUUUCACAGAAGUGUGAUUGACUUGGAGUUACAUUGUGUUGUUUAAGUGUUCCCUUUAUUUUUUUGAGCAGUGUAUUUAUAUGUACAGAUUCUCAUUCACCCCUUUAGAUUUGUGUGUAUCAGGUAGUUGUUGGCGGUGUUAGAUUACUAGUUCAAUAUUACUGCAAUGUCUGCACUAGAAGCACAAGCAUUUCGCUACACUCGCAUUAACAUCUGCUAACCGUGUGUAUGUGACCAAUAAAAUUUGAUUUGUGUGAAGCUCAAUAACCUUGAAUCUCUGUGAGCUGUAAAGGAGGGGCUCAUUAUCUCACUGAGUC
rnacentral:lncRNA from 1 species